rnacentral:lncRNA from 1 species
NNNNNNNNNNNNNNNNNNNNNNNNNNNNNNNNNNNNNNNNNNNNNNNNNNNCCCCCCCCUCCAGACCCCCCAUUUAGGGACCCCUCCCCUUAAAGGAUCCCACCCAAAAAACCCCAUAGGACCCCCCCAGACCCCAUAAGACCCCCCCAAAAUGGGACCCCCCCCAGAUCCCAUAGGACCCCAAAGGUUCCCUAUGGGGUUUCCUAUGAAGUUCCCUAUGGGGUUUGCUAUGGGGUAUCCUACAGGUGUUCCCUAUGGGUUUCCUAUGGGCUCCCCCUAUAGGAUUCCCUAUAGGGUUUCCUAUGGGGUCUCCUAUGGGGUUUGCUAUGGGGUUUCCUAUGGGGUUCCCUAUAGGGUUCCCUAUGGGGUUCCCUAUGGGGUUUCCUAUGGACUUCCCUAUGGGGUUUCCUAUGGGGUUCCCUAUGGGGUUCCCUAUGGGGUUUGUUAUGAGGUUCACUAUGGGCCCCUCUAUAGGAUUUCCUAUUGGGUUCCCUAUAGGGUUCUCUAUGGGGUUUCCUAUGGGGUCUCCUAUUGGGUUCCCUAUAGGGUCCCCUGUAGGGUUUUCUAUGGGGUUCCUAUAGAGUUCCCUAUAGGGUUCCCUAUGGGGUUUGCUAUGGGGUUUGCUAUGGGGUCCCUAUUUCCUAUUGGGUUCCCUAUAGGGUUCCCUAUGGGGUUCCUUAUAGGGUUCCCUUUGCGGUUCCCUAUAGGGUUCCCUAUAGGGCUUCCUAUGGAGUUCUCUAUAGGGUCUCCUAUUGGGUUCCCUAUAGGGUUCCCUAUAGGGUUUUCCAUGGGGUCUCCUAUGGGGUUUCCUAUGGGGUUCCCUAUGGGGUAUGCUAUGGGGUUCCCUAUGAGGUUUCCUAUGGGUUAUGCUAUGGGGUUCCCUAUGGGGUCCCCUAUAGGGUUCCCUAUGGGGUUCCCUAUGGGGUUCCCUAUGGGAUACCCUAUAGGGUUCCCUAUGGGGUUCCUUGUAUGUUCCCUAUGGGGUUCCCUGUGUGUUCCCUAUGGGGUUCCCUAUGGGAUGCCCUAUAGGGAUUGCUAUAAGGUUCACUAUGGGGUCCCCUAUAGGAUUUCCUAUGGGGUUCCCUAUAGGGUUCUCUAUGGGGUUUGCUAUGGGGUCUCCUAUAUGGUUCCCCAUGGGGUUCUCUAUGGGGUCCCCUAUGGGCUUCCCUAUAGGGCUCCCUAUGGGGUUCCCUAUAGGGUUCCCUAUGGGGUUUCCGAUGGGGCCAUCUAUGGGGUUCCCUAUAGGGUUUACUAUGAUGUUCUCUAUAAGGUUUCCUAUGGGGUUCCCUAUGGGGUUUCCUAUAGGGUUCCCUAUGGGAUUUGCUAUGGGAUCUUCUAUGGGGUUCCCUAUAGGAUUUCCUAUGGGGUUCCCUAUGGGGCUUGCUAUGGGGUCCCCUAUAGAGUCCCCUAUGUGUUUCCUAUGGGGUUCCCUAUAGGACUUCCUAAGGGCUCCCUAUAGGGUUUCCUAUGGGGUUUCCUAUAGGGUUUUCUAUGGGGUUUCCUAUUGGGUAACCCAUAGGGUUUCCUAUGGGGUUCCCUAUGGGAUUUGCUAUGGGGUCCCCUACAGGGUUCUCUAUGGGGUCUCCUAUGGGUUCCCUAUGGGGUCCCCUAUAGGGUCCCCUAUAGGGUUUCCUAUAGUGUCCCUAUAUGUCCCACCUUAGCUCUCAGCGUACACAUGAGGCUCCUCCCGCAGUACAGCCGCACCUCCCCGUUCUGCAGCCCCAGCAGCGCCCCCUGGCGGCCGCGGCCCCACAGCACAGCCUGCCCCAUAGAAACUAUGGGGGACGGGGGGCGCAGCGACCACAGGCGGCGACCCUAUAAGGG